UACUGACUCGCUAGCCCAAAAAUCAAAAACAACAAAUCAUAAUAACUAAACCCAAAGACACCAUAAACCCCUAUAAACAAACCAUUUUUCCCCCUUAGUAUGGGCGACAGAAAAGGGAAAACGGAGCGAUAGAAAAAGUACCGCAAGGGAACGCUGAAAAACCAAAUGAAAAAACAAGUGAAGCCCAAAAAAGCAGAGACUAAAACUCGUACCUUUUGCAUCAUGAUUUAGCCAGUGCAGCCCAAGCAAAGAGCACUUUAGUUUGUGCACCCGAAACUUCGUGAGCUACUCCAAGGCAGCCUAAUUAAUAGGGCUAACCCGUCUCUGUGGCAAAAGAGUGGGAAGACCUUCGAGUAGAGGUGAUAAACCUACCGAACCUAGUAAUAGCUGGUUGCCCGACAAUUGGAUAGAAGUUCAGCCUCCCGGCUUCUUUAUUCUUCAACCUUCUGUCCAAACAGAUAAUUAAGAAACCAGGAGAGUUAGUCAAAGGGGGUACAGCCCCUUUGAAAUAAGAUACAACUUUUAUAGGCGGAUAAAGAUCAUAACUAACAAAGGCAAUAAAUUAGGGUGGGCCUGAAAGCAGCCAUCCCAUCAAAAAGCGUUAAAGCUCAAACACAUAUUUACUACAGCCUCAAGUCUCGACCAUCACCUCUUAUUCCCCUUAUCCUACCGGGCCGUCCCAUGCUUGCAUGGGAGCGAUCCUGCUAAAAUCAGUACAUAGGAGAGCCUUACGGCUCUCUCCCUGCAUAUGUGUAAAUCGGAAACGGACAAUCCACCGAACCUUAACGGACCCAAAUAACAGAGGGAACUGAACCACACAUAAAACGACCGGAAAAACACCCAAACAAACAACCGUUACCCCUACACAGGUAUGCUCUCAGGGAAAGACUAAAAGAAAGAGAAGGAACUCGGCAAACACUUAGCCUCGCCUGUUUACCAAAAACAUCGCCUCUUGCCAAAAUGAAAGUAUAAGAGGUCCCGCCUGCCCUGUGACUAUAUGUUUAACGGCCGCGGUAUUUUGACCGUGCGAAGGUAGCGCAAUCACUUGUCUUUUAAAUAAAGACCUGUAUGAAUGGCAUCACGAGGGCUCAACUGUCUCCUCUUUCAAGUCAAUGAAAUUGAUCUCCCCGUGCAGAAGCGGGGAUAAACACAUAAGACGAGAAGACCCUAUGGAGCUUUAGACACUAAAGCAGACCGACAUUAAGACCCCAGACACGGGACACAAAUAAAUUGGGGCCUGCCCUAAUGUCUUUGGUUGGGGCGACCGUGGAGAACAAUAAAACCUCCACAAGGACCGAAUGUAUAGCAUUCACAACCAAGAACGACAGUUCUAAUUAACAGAAUUUCUGACCAAUAAGAUCCGGCAACGCCGAUCAAUGAACCGAGUUACCCUAGGGAUAACAGCGCAAUCUCCUCUUAGAGUCCAUAUCGACGAGGAGGUUUACGACCUCGAUGUUGGAUCAGGACAUCCUAAUGGUGCAGCCGCUAUUAAGGGUUCGUUUGUUCAACGAUUAAAGUCCUACGUGAUCUGAGUUCAGACCGGAGCAAUCCAGGUCGGUUUCUAUCUAUGUAAUGAUCUUUUCUAGUACGAAAGGACCGAAAAGAGGGGGCCCAUGUUUAAGACAUGCCUCACCCCCACCUAAUGAAAGCAGCUUAAUCAGGUAAGGGGGCAACGCCCCCUUGUCUGAGAAAAUGACAU
rnacentral:rRNA from 1 species